ACUUGUCUGCAGCACUCAGGAGGCUCAGGGAAUUAACCAGGAGGGAACAGUAGCCCGGUUAAAAUAGUUUCUGUACUUCCAGAGGAAGCAAUUAAAUCUCAGCGUCUACCAUGGCAAAAGACCGAUUGUACUUGAGGAACAAAAUCGGGGAUGAUCAUCCUUUAGUGGCGGGAAGCUGGAAAAUGAGGGACUGUGGGCUGUGAGGAGAGAGAAAGAGGCUUGAGAAACCAGAAACCAUCAUUUGCAUCCAAGAAACUGUGCUCUCCAUGGCUUCCUCAAGAUGAGCAAACAAGAGUGAUACAGAUUUUUCUGAGAUGGACAGUGCCUCUCACUGACCCCGCCCCCAGUAUCCUACGACCAAGGAAAAGAAUCUCAUGUGUCAUUUCUGUGGGCCACGGUAGUUAAGGAAACUCCAUGUAUUUUCAUCUGGAGCCUCACAGCAACCCUGACAAGUGGCUAAGUGGGGACAAUGUGAAGCUCGGCUGCCCUUCCCCAAGGCCCUGGUCUUGACAGUCCUCAGGGGCUGGAGGCCCCCCUCAUCCAUGUCCCCACAAGAUUUCUGUCCAUGGCACCCAAGGACCCACUCAAAUGGUCUUGAAUGGACCUGAGGAAGACUGGCGAGUUAUUGGUUUUAUAAGCACAGUUGUGUCCGUUUACAUCUACCAGAAGGUACAGGGAUAUGGCGAGAGUGAGAAGACGUGACACCUGUUAAUACAAACUCUCCCCUUUAACUUGUCUUUCCAGAGAACACAGAAUGGGAGACACCGCUAAAACAGGCCACGUUAGCACUAGAACUGAUAAACUGAGAGCUAGGUUCUAGAUAGAAAAGUUACGAUGAAACAUCCUCAUCAUUGUCAACAGAUGAAUAUCUAAACCUCAGCUUUGAUGUCCUCUGCCAAAUGGAUUGGAUGAUGCCUGCCCUUGCCACUCCACGGGGUCUUUGGGGAUGAACUGAGCUACAAUGGCGAGGGAGCGGGUGGGAUACUAACUGGCCCUUCCCCUAGAUAGGAGGCCAUCAAGUGCAGAGCCAGAGACCGGCCCUGGGCCUCCGCAGGCUCCCCCGGAGCCAAAGAGAGGCCAAACCGAAGCGCCCUGCCCAAGGCCGCCCUAACGCGACUCUGGCCGCUCCUGCCUAGCAGAUACCGGCUGGUGCCCUCGCUUCGGAUGCAAGAUCCCAGCUCUGCUGCAGC
rnacentral:lncRNA from 1 species